GACGAACGCUGGCGGCGUGCCUAAUACAUGCAAGUCGAGCGGACAGAUGGGAGCUUGCUCCCUGAUGUUAGCGGCGGACGGGUGAGUAACACGUGGGUAACCUGCCUGUAAGACUGGGAUAACUCCGGGAAACCGGGGCUAAUACCGGAUGGUUGUUUGAACCGCAUGGUUCAAACAUAAAAGGUGGCUUCGGCUACCACUUACAGAUGGACCCGCGGCGCAUUAGCUAGUUGGUGAGGUAACGGCUCACCAAGGCAACGAUGCGUAGCCGACCUGAGAGGGUGAUCGGCCACACUGGGACUGAGACACGGCCCAGACUCCUACGGGAGGCAGCAGUAGGGAAUCUUCCGCAAUGGACGAAAGUCUGACGGAGCAACGCCGCGUGAGUGAUGAAGGUUUUCGGAUCGUAAAGCUCUGUUGUUAGGGAAGAACAAGUACCGUUCGAAUAGGGCGGUACCUUGACGGUACCUAACCAGAAAGCCACGGCUAACUACGUGCCAGCAGCCGCGGUAAUACGUAGGUGGCAAGCGUUGUCCGGAAUUAUUGGGCGUAAAGGGCUCGCAGGCGGUUUCUUAAGUCUGAUGUGAAAGCCCCCGGCUCAACCGGGGAGGGUCAUUGGAAACUGGGGAACUUGAGUGCAGAAGAGGAGAGUGGAAUUCCACGUGUAGCGGUGAAAUGCGUAGAGAUGUGGAGGAACACCAGUGGCGAAGGCGACUCUCUGGUCUGUAACUGACGCUGAGGAGCGAAAGCGUGGGGAGCGAACAGGAUUAGAUACCCUGGUAGUCCACGCCGUAAACGAUGAGUGCUAAGUGUUAGGGGGUUUCCGCCCCUUAGUGCUGCAGCUAACGCAUUAAGCACUCCG
rnacentral:rRNA from 1 species